rnacentral:rRNA from 1 species
UGGGGAAUAUUGGACAAUGGGCGCAAGCCUGAUCCAGCAAUGCCGCGUGAGUGAUGAAGGCCUUCGGGUUGUAAAGCUCUUUCGCCCGCGAGGAUGAUGACGAUAGCGGGAGAAGAAGCCCCGGCUAACUUCGUGCCAGCAGCCGCGGUAAUACGAAGGGGGCGAGCGUUGUUCGGAUUUACUGGGCGUAAAGGGCGCGUAGGCGGCGUGAGAAGUCAGGCGUGAAAGCCCCGGGCUCAACCUGGGAACUGCGCUUGGGACUCUCAUGCUCGAGUUCGGGAGAGGAGCGUGGAAUUCCCAGUGUAGAGGUGAAAUUCGUAGAUAUUGGGAAGAACACCGGUGGCGAAGGCGGCGCUCUGGACCGAGACUGACGCUGAGGCGCGAAAGCGUGGGGAGCAAACAGGAUUAGAUACCCCCGUAGUCC